GGGCGAUUAGCUCAGCGGGAGAGCACCUCGUUCACACCGAGGGGGUCGCAGGUUCAAUCCCUGCAUCGCCCACCA
rnacentral:tRNA from 1 species